GGAGGGGCAAGUGAAGUGCGGAGGGGCAGGUGCUUGGCAGCUGUGCGGGGCAGCCUCAGGUUCCGGGGUGGAUUUCCACGCAGCGCUGAGACCCCCAGGGGGAUAAAGAGCAUCGGAACCUUAAGACUCCGCCUGCUGUGGGUGAACCUCGUGAACCCUUGUGUUGUCCCUAGGAGAACCCGCAUCGCACCUGCACAGCUGUCCCCGGCAGUAAGGCUCCUGAAAUUUAUCGUUGAGGCUGCAUUUGGUGGAACAGCAAUCACAAUUGUGACCAUGGGCAAGAGCAGCAAGAUGCCGCAGCACCAUGACGAUCGAAUGCCACGCGUCCCCCAGAGCGCCGGAUCUUCACUGACACCUCUGAGGCCUUUUGUCCAGCCAAGGAAUUUGGUCCGCUGUGACUGUGAGGAGUUCAGGAAGACCAAGCCAAGGAGUGCAGAGCAGCCAGAAUGGGAAGAAAGCGGUCCUGGGUCUGUCUUGGUACCCGUGUGGGUGGAAGGGCCGCCCCUGAGCACCCCAGCCCAGUACCCACCAGAAAGGGGGCUUCACCGCUCCGGGAGGCGGAGCAGCCCCACCUCCAGUCACUGCGGCUCCUUCUGAGACCACCAUGGGCCCGACAUGGGCUUCCUCCUGCUCGAGGGACACCAACAGGCAUGGCUCUCCAGGAGUGAGACCAGGUCUGCCUCCCCAAGACCCUGGGAUGCUGUUGAUCCGUCUCAGUUACUCCCCCCCACCUGUGCAUCUUGUGAAAUUAUAUAGAUUGAUCGCAAGCUUUUUGUCCCGUUUUUGCAUUAAAAAUAGCUAAUAAUAAAUGCAUAGAGCAACAGAGAAAAGAGAAAGAUAAUGCUAGUAGUUUAAUUUUUUUUUUUUUUCUGGUGCUGGGGAUUGAACUCAGGACCUUGUGCUUGCUAGGCAGGCAUGGCACCAUUGAGCUAAAUCCCUGGCCCUAGUUUAAAAAAAUUUUU
rnacentral:lncRNA from 1 species